CAGAAGUAUAGAGAGCACA
rnacentral:snRNA from 1 species